CUAAAACGUAUCCUUUGGCUAGCAUUGUCCUGACAACUUCCUGAGCCACAGUCACUACUUCUCCAGGGGAAGAAGUAUACUGGUUCAUAUGAAUUCCCGUUGAGCCAGCAUUUUCGACCUUCCAUGAAUUCCAAGGAUCAGAUUCAUCCAUGUAAGUCCCCCAGUGAGUAAUGCAUAUGCGUUGAUCCAUAAUUGUAGCUCCACUGAGCAGGAUGGCAGUUUCAAGAGCAUAGGCACCUCUAAAUGUUACAUAUGCAGUGGAACCAUACUCACUAGACCUGAUGAUUUCAACAUGCUCAAUUGGACCACAGUGAGCGAAAAAAUCAUACACAUCCUCUACAGUUGCUUUGGGAGAUAAGCAUGUAACUUCAGCUGUAUAACCACUAGGAUACAUCCCGUUAAAUGCGGUUCAAUCUG
rnacentral:misc_RNA from 1 species